rnacentral:rRNA from 1 species
UUUUACAAUGGAGAGUUUGAUCCUGGCUCAGGAUGAACGCUAGCUAUAGGCUUAACACAUGCAAGUCGAGGGGAAACGGCAUUAUGUGCUUGCACAUUUUGGACGUCGACCGGCGCACGGGUGAGUAUCGCGUAUCCAACCUGCCCUUUACUUGGGGAUACCCCGUUGAAAGACGGCCUAAUACCCGAUGUAAUUCAUUGAUGGCAUCAGAUAUGAAUAAAAGAUUUAUCGGUAAAGGAUGGGGAUGCGUCUGAUUAGCUUGUUGGUGAGGUAAUGGCUCACCAAGGCAACGAUCAGUAGGGGUUCUGAGAGGAAGGUCCCCCACAUUGGAACU